rnacentral:rRNA from 1 species
UACGUAGGUGGCAAGCGUUGUCCGGAAUCACUGGGCGUAAAGCGCGCGCAGGCGGCGAGCUACGUCUGGGGUGAAAGCCCGGAGCUCAACUCCGGGACUGCCUUGGAUACGGGAUCGCUUGAGGAUUGGAGAGGCAAGGGGAAUUCCACGUGUAGCGGUGAAAUGCGUAGAUAUGUGGAGGAACACCUGUGGCGAAGGCGCCUUGCUGGCCAAUUUCUGACGCUGAGGCGCGAAAGCGUGGGGAGCAAACAGG